rnacentral:rRNA from 1 species
CAGUAGCCGCGGUAAAACGUAGGUGGCGAGUGUUGUCCGGAUUUAUUGGGCGUAAAGGGAGUGUAGGCGGUCUUUUAAGUCUGAUGUGAAAGCCCACGGCUCAACCGUGGAGGGUCAUUGGAAACUGGGAGACUUGAGUGCAGAAGAGGAGAGCGGGAUUCCAUGUGUAGCGGUGAAAUGCGUAGAUAUAUGGAGGAACACCAGUGGCGAAGGCGGCUCUCUGGUCUGUAACUGACGCUGAGGCUCGAAAGCGUGGGGAGCAAACAGGAUUAGAGACCCCCGUAGUCCCUGUCUCUUAUAA